rnacentral:rRNA from 1 species
GACGUAGGGGGCCAGCGUUGUUCGGAAUUACUGGGUGUAAAGGGUUCGUAGGCGGUGCGGCAAGUUGGGAGUGAAAUCUCUGGGCUUAACCCAGAGGCUGCUUCCAAAACUGCUGUGGCUUGAGUGUGGGAGAGGCGCGUGGAAUUGCAGGUGUAGCGGUGAAAUGCGUAGAUAUCUGCAGGAACACCCGUGGCGAAAGCGGCGCGCUGGACCACUACUGACGCUGAGGAACGAAAGCUAGGGGAGCAAACAGG